rnacentral:rRNA from 1 species
UAGUCCACGCCCUAAACGAUGCCAACUCGAUAUUUGGAUCUUGAAUCUGAGUGUCUAAGCGAAAGCGAUAAGUUAGCCACCUGGGGAGUACGUUCGCAAGAAUGAAACUCAAAGGAAUUGACGGGGGCCCGCACAAGCGGUGGAGCAUGUGGUUUAAUUCGAUGAUACGCGAGGAACCUUACCUGGGCUCAAAUGCAGAGUGACAGUCCCUGAAAGGGGAUUUUCUUCGGACACUUUGCAAGGUGCUGCAUGGUUGUCGUCAGCUCGUGCCGUGAGGUGUCGGGUUGAGUCCCAUAACGAGCGCAACCCCUAUCAUUAGUUGCCAUCAGGUCAAGCUGGGGACUCUAGUGAAACUGCCUACGCAAGUAGAGAGGAAGGUGGGGAUGACGUCAAAUCAGCACGGCCCUUACGUCCAGGGCUACACACGUGCUACAAUGGCCGGUACAGAGGGCAGCCACCACGCGAGUGGGAGCGAAUCUCGAAAGCCGGUCUCAGUUCGG